UACGGAAGGUCCGGGCGUUAUCCGGAUUUAUUGGGUUUAAAGGGAGCGCAGGCCGGAGGUUAAGCGUGACGUGAAAUGCAGUCGCCCAACGGCUGAGCUGCGUCGCGAACUGGCUUUCUUGAGUGCGUACGACGUAGGCGGAAUUCGUGGUGUAGCGGUGAAAUGCUUAGAUAUCACGAAGAACCCCGAUUGCGAAGGCAGCCUACGAGUCCGUAACUGACGCUAAAGCUCGAAGGUGCGGGUAU
rnacentral:rRNA from 1 species